rnacentral:rRNA from 1 species
UAACGCGAAGAACCUUACCAGCCCUUGACAUCCCGGUCGCGGACUCCAGAGACGGAGUUCUUCAGUUCGGCUGGACCGGAGACAGGUGCUGCAUGGCUGUCGUCAGCUCGUGUCGUGAGAUGUUGGGUUAAGUCCCGCAACGAGCGCAACCCCCGUCCUUAGUUGCUACCAUUUAGUUGAGCACUCUAAGGAGACUGCCGGUGAUAAGCCGCGAGGAAGGUGGGGAUGACGUCAAGUCCUCAUGGCCCUUACGGGCUGGGCUACACACGUGCUACAAUGGCGGUGACAAUGGGACGCGAAGGGGCAACCCCUAGCAAAUCUCAAAAAGCCGUCUCAGUUCGGAUUGGGCUCUGCAACUCGAGCCCAUGAAGUUGGAAUCGCUAGUAACCGUGGAUCAGCAUGCCACGGUGAAUACGUUCCCGGGUCUUGUACACACCGA